rnacentral:lncRNA from 1 species
GUAUCCCUUGUAGUUGCUGAAACUGACAGAGGAGUCUGGGACAGUUACAUACGACUCUUGAGAGCUAAAGCUGACUGUAGCACGCUACAUCUGGUGCGCUGCUCACUACAGAUGGUGUCUGACAUCACGUUCUCUGGUGGCAUUGCAGCCCUUCUUUUCUCAAAGGCAAAAACCAUCUCAGGAAAUUAUGAAUUUCAACACAUGGACUACUUGCAUUGAGACGAGACGUGCAAGCUGAGAGAGAAAGAGAGAGAAAAAGAGACAAGUAUGAACCAUGGCAAUCAAUCCAUUUUCCCAAUCACUCACUUCUUGCCUCCUCAGUCCCAGCGAUCAGCUACGAAUUUCUUGCUAAAAUAAAAAUAUAGUC